rfam:Oryza sativa (indica cultivar-group) chromosome 2, whole genome shotgun sequence.
UUUAAGUGCAACUAUAAAUUUCAAUGUCUAACCUAGAUGGUUUAUUUUAUUUAAUUUUCGUUAUAAGUAGUAUUUUUAUUAUUACUAGAUGAUAAAACAUGAAUAGUAAAUUAUGUGUGAUUAAUAAUUUAUUUUUUAAAAAAUAAGACAGACGAUCAAAAUUAGGUAUGGAAAACAAUGCACUGCUA